AUUGACCGCUGGCGGCAGGCCUAACACAUGCCAGUCGAGCGGAGCGGCGGACGGGUGCGUAAUGCCUAGGAAUCUGCCUGGUAGUGGGGGAUAACGUCCGGAAACGGGCGCUAAUACCGCAUAAUAUACAAUGAGCCUAGGUCUGAUUAGCUAGUUGGUGGGGUAAAGGCAUAGCAAGGCGACGAUCCGUAACUGGUCUGAGAGGAUGAUCAGUCACACUGGACCGUAGACACGUUCCAGACUCCUACGGGAGGCAGCAGUGGGGAAUAUUGGACAAUGGGCGAAAGCCUGAUCCAGCCAUGCCGGGUGUGUGAAGAAGGUCUUCGGAUGGUAAAGCACUUUAAGUUGGGAGGCGUUACCAACAGAAUAAGCACCGGCUAACUUCGUGCCAGCAGCCGCGGUAAUUC
rnacentral:rRNA from 1 species